GGGAGUGAGAGAAGGAGAGAAAGGAGGGGAGGAGGAAGCACAGACCGAUCAUGUGAUUUUGCCCAAAGCAAACAGAGCAAAUAGCGGCAUCGAGACUGUUAUUCAGGGUCCACGGCUACCUCAUUCCUGUCUUCCCCUGCCAGGUAGCCUAUCACAGUAGUAAAGCUCUCACUUCUAAGCUUAUAUCACAGUUCACUAUUUACUAGGUGUGUGACCUUGGUAAAUUCCUAAACCUAUUUCUACCUCAAUUUCCUUAACUGUCAGCGGGAGUACUAGCACCUACCUCAUGGGGUUGUUGGGAGAAUGAAAUGCAAUAGCAUGGGUAAAGCAUUUAACAGAGCACAUUUGUGUGUAGUGUGUGUGUUUGCAUGAACAGAGAUGUGCGUGCUAGCAUGGGCUUGUUCAUUUCAUUCUUACUGUUUUAGUCUGGUGUACUGGCUUUGCUGAACUUAAAAGUUCACAUCAUAAUUCUGUGCUGAAGGUGCAUUUCUCUGUUUUUUUUUCAGUCUCAUCUCAUCAGAGGUGAUGCCUGGAGGGACUUCCAAGUCAGAAUCAUCAGAGCAACUACUGAGAAUUCAAACUUAAAAAGAAAUUAAUUAUCAAUAAGGCACCACUGGCUGGGUGGAACUGAAUGCUUGCAAUCUGAACUCUGGGGAAAAAAGGAAAUCAGAGAGUGAUUAUUUUUGAAUGUGAACUUGAUUUGAGUAGCAGACACAGUGAAAAUACUUAUAAAAUGUGUCAUAAGUGCCAUCCCAGGAGGUUGCAAGACUGACCCCACUUCUGUGGUCAGUGUUCAUCCAUGCCUCAUAUACUUGAUCUGCAUUCCCAGGCCCUCAUCCUUGCCUUCCUGCCAAUCGCAGACCAGAGAUAAAAGCACUGUUGCAGCUGGUGAAGAUCCGCUCUGCUGUCAUUUAUGAGACAAGCAUGCUCCAAAGGAUGCUGGAAAAAGCCAAGCCAGGUUACAUUUCAGAGAAAAGUCAUUGCAAAGAUACAGUGCAUGCUGGGAUCUGGAAAUACCCCUGCAGAAAUCCACUUGAAAAACCUGCACUACUCUUGCUUCUUUGCCCCGGACUGUAAGAGAUUUCUGCACACAGGGUGUCAGAUGAUUGGACAGAAGAAUGUCUGUCAUUGUCCUUGGUGAGCAGAAAGGCCAUUUGUUCUUUCCUUAGCUGACCAAUGCUUUAGAACUCACCAGAGAGAACUGUGUCUCAACCAGCAUCCCUCUUCACUGAGGACUUCGGGAUCCUCUAUACUGGCACCAGCCUUUUCACAUGCAGUCUUUUGCAUAUGCAGUUACUCUGGAGACUUGGCUUGUCCAACUACCUGUUCAACCCCUUGUCUCUUGAGAGUUCACAUAAAGUGAAUGAGCAACCCCAUCUCUGCUAUGUUCAAGUAUCAAUAUUUUUCUCAAAGUCCCCUGAUGGUGA